UGAGGAAUAUUGGGCAAUGCCCGCAAGGGUGACCCAGCAACGCCGCGUGGAGGAUGAAUGUCGUAAGAUUGUAAACUCCUGUUAGAGGGGAAGAAUAGUACCGGUUGGACCGGUAUAUGACUGUACCCUCAGAGAAAGCCCCGGCUAACUACGUGCCAGCAGCCGCGGCAAUACGUAGGGGGCAAGCGUGGUCCGGAUUUUCUGGGUGUAAAGGGCGCGCAGGCGGGAUAAAAAGUCAGUGGUGAAAUCCUACAGCUUAACUGUAGAACUGCCUUUGAUACUUUUAUUCUUGAGUUCGGGAGAGAGAGACGGAAUUCCAGGUGUAGUGGUGAAAUACGUAGAGAUCUGGAAGAACACCAGUUGCGAAGGCGGUCUCUUGGUCCGACACUGACGCUGAGGCGCGAAAGCGUGGGGAGCAAACA
rnacentral:rRNA from 1 species